rnacentral:rRNA from 1 species
AGUGAACGCUGGCGGUAGGCCUAACACAUGCCAGUCGAACGGCAGCACAGUAAGAGCUUGCUCUUACGGGUGGCGAGUGGCGGACGGGUGAGGAAUACAUCGGAAUCUACAUUUUCGUGGGGGAUAACGUAGGGAAACUUACGCUAAUACCGCAUACGACCUACGGGUGAAAGCAGGGGAUCUUCGGACCUUGCGCGAUUGAAUGAGCCGAUGUCGGAUUAGCUAGUUGGCGGGGUAAAGGCCCACCAAGGCGACGAUCCGUAGCUGGUCUGAGAGGAUGAUCAGCCACACUGGAACUGAGACACGGUCCAGACUCCUACGGGAGGCAGCAGUGGGGAAUAUUGGACAAUGGGCGCAAGCCUGAUCCAGCCAUACCGCGUGGGUGAAGAAGGCCUUCGGGUUGUAAGGCCCUUUUGUUGGGAAAGAAAAGCAGCAGGUUAAUACCCCGCUGUUCUGACGGUACCCAAAGAAUAAGCACCGGCUAACUUCGUG